UAAAAACUAACAAAAGCAACUGCCCCUAAAACUGUGAAACAUCUCCCUCUCUCAGUGCCUGAUUGUUUACUCUCACUCAAACUACUCUCUUAGUGCCUCAUUCUCUAUGGGCUUUGAGAACCAUGCACUGAUCUCGUUCUUUUUUCUGGAUCUUGCUCUCACAUCUCCAUCAUUCCAUCUUCUUCAUCGCUCGAAUCUCUUCUCAUUUUUCAUCUCAGUCUUAAUCAUGAUUUGAAUCUUUUUCUCGUACAAGUUUGUGCUGAUUUCGAUUGAAAUCUAAAUGGCUAGGUUCCUUAAUCUCCCUCUUAAUUAUGUUCUUGUACUCUUAAUUUGUGUUCUACUGCAAUCUUUUUUCAUAUCUUAUCAAUUUGUGAUUUUAUCUGAGUUAAUUGUUCUUCUAGAUUGGAUUCUGCUUUUCUUAGUUCCCUAUCGCAUGCGCUUAUUGUAGGUUAAACCCGUAAUUCAGUGAUUUAGAAAUUUGUUAUCAAAAUUUUAGGGUUUUCUUCUCUCAAUGAUUCAACAAUGCUUUAUCAGUUUCUGAUUCCAGUACUUUGUUUUUUUUUUCAACUUUAUCACUUUUCCCUGCGAUUUUCCAAACUUCCUUCGAAUUCAUCGCAGUCGUGGUAUCCGCCAUCAGUGAUGAGCACACCAAGCUCAUCAAAGCCUGCCACAUCUUCCGGUCAUUUCCUUUGAUCUCUUUUCUGAGUGACAGAUCACUGUACAUGAGCACCAAGAACAAUUCAAGUUUUUCAGAUCUUGAAAAGCCACAAGGUGAAUUCGAUGGAAAAGCAUGUGCAGCCAUUGAGCAAGUAGUCUUAUUUCUCUCUAUGAUACCAUGUUCCUCCAGCUUGAUGUGACUUCAUCCCAACUUCUUGUGAAUGGCUUCUUUAGGGAUGCAUGUUUCAAAAAACAACUUUCAGACACUGUGCACUCACUAUUGGAUUUAAGAGUUAUCCCCAUUUUCAAUGAAAAUGAUGCUGUUAGUACUAGGAAGGCACCAUAUGAGGUAUCUUGAUUUUCCUUAUCACCUUUUAUCUAUUCUUUUCUUUACUUCUAUUAAUUUUAAAAGUUCUAUUAGUACUUCAUAUGUUAUAUUUCCAAUUUUUUUUGUAGACACUCACAGAUCCAAUUAGGAAAACAUAUACUACUUGUAGCGAAUGCUCUAUAGAAUUUGAGGUGGAUGGACAAUACAAGUUAAACUAGAACUUGUAGUAUAUGAUUUGAAUAUUUUCCCGUGCUUUACUAUUUGUGAAUGACUUAUAUAUGGUUUGCUUUGACGUAGGCAAUGAUUCUUCCUGCUUCCAGAUUAGUUGCUCUAUAGAAUUUGAAUAUUUCAGCUUAUUCCUAGAUGUUCGUACAGUGGCAAAAGUUCAAGUAUGGAUCUUUAUUAUAUUCCAUCAUAUUAUUCCUUUUUCAGAUAUCUUGAACUAACAAGAUUCUUAUUUCAGGUGUUAGGUUCUAAUUAUCUUAGUGUGUUACUUGAGGCUAUUGAUAUAAGGUAACAAAAUUUCUUUUCCAAGAUGGUGAGCCUAAUAAUGUUGUUGAUGAUAGAGAUUUACAUACUAUUCUCAACUAUUAAUUAUUCUUCUUGUGUUGAAGCUUUUAAGCUGAAUAUGAGUAAUAAACUGCUAAGCACAAAAUGCUUUGGGAUAUUUUUUAAUGUAAAAUUGUAAAUUAGCUUGCCGUUUGAUUCAUCUCAUCUUUUUAAUACAUGUUUGUUACUUCUAAUUGGGUUGAUCUUUCUUUUCAGGGCACCAAAAUUAACAAUAUAAUUGAAUUAUGUGUUUCUUAAUUUUUCAUAUAUAUUCCUGACAUUAGGAUAUAAUAUUAUAAUCUUUAAUUACCUAAUUUAUUUAUUUUGAAAUGAAUUCAAUUUAAUUACCUAAUUUAUUUAUUUUGAUCGGUGGCUACAGUUUGUUUCUAUUAUAAUUAUAAUUUGUUCUUGUUGGUCUUGUUGUAAGUUUGAAUUAAAUUUGUUCUUUCUUAGGUUAUGGCUACAGUUUGUUUCUAUUAUAAUUAUAAUUUGAUCCUUGUUUUUGGUACAUUUUUAUUAUUAUUUAUCUUGAACAUAACAUUAGGUAUUUGAUUUUGAUGUCUUUUGCAGACUAGUGGAUCAUUAUAUGGUGCCUUAAUUGGUUCUGUUUUGGCCUUCAAUGUUGCUGACUUCCUAGGUAGAGCCGUAGAAGAAGGGAGCUGAUUUCAGCGGCAUUGUUAUAUCUUGUCAGAGCACUCGUAACAGCACUAGCUCCAAAUCUUCCUAUAUUGGUGAUAGGGAGAUUUGUUUAUGGUAUAGGAAUUGGAUUGGCAGGUUAUGGAAUCGGUAGCCUUCUGGUAGACACGGUAGCUGGGUGGCGCUAUAUGUAUGGAGUUAGUAGUCCUUUGGCAGUAAUAAUGGGAAUUGGAAUGUGUUGGCUCCCAGCUUCUCCUAGAUGGCUAAUUUUAUGUGCUAUACAGGGAAAAGGGGAUGGAGAGAAUUUGAAAAGCACCGCAAUUCAUUGUCUGAGCCGUCUUCGAGGUCAAGCUGUUGAGGACUCAGCUCAUCGGUAAGUCGAUGAAAUUCUGGCUGAGCUUGCUUAUGUAGGUGAAGAAAAAGAGGUUACUUUUGGAGAAAUGUUCAGAGGAAAAUGCUUGAAAGCCCUUACCAUUGGUGCAAGAUUGGUCUUGUUUCAACAGGAGGUGACAUGCAAUACCAUAAAAUGUUAUUGCAAUGUCAUUUGCGCCAAGGGAUUCUCAUGAAGCACAAGUACAGUUUGCUCUUGAAAGAGGUGUACCUGCUGUCAUUGGUGUUCUUAGAACCAUAAAAACACCUUAUCCUUCUGCGGCCUUCGACAUGGCUCAUUGUUCUUGUUGCUUAAUUCCUUGGGGAGCAAAUGAUGGAAUUUAUAUGAUUGAAGUAGACCGAGCUCUAAGACCUGGUGGUUAUUAGGUGCUUUUGGGACCUCCAAUAAACUGGAAGGCAAGUUAUAGAAACUGGCAGAGACCUAAGGAGGAACUCGAGGAAGACCAAAGAAAGAUUGAAGAGGUUGCUAAGUUCCUUUGCUGGGAGAAGAAGUCAGAGGAGGCUGAAAUUUCCAUUUGGCAAAAAACUAUGGACACCGAAUCAUGCCGUAGCAGACAAGAAGAAUCUAGCGUGAACUUUUAUGAAACAACCAAUGUUAAUGAUGUCUGGUAAGAAUCUUCCUAUUUAAACAAUUUGUAUAUUUUAGCAGUGUAUUAUUAUUAUUGCCAUUGUUUCUUUCUAUAAGCCAUGUGCAAGGAUGUAGACAUUUGCAUUAUGCAUUGAGCUAAAGAUAUUUGGGAGAAUAAUAGUGAUAUUUUCAUGUAUAAUUCUAAAAAAUGCUUUUCCAGUUUCCAAAGUAUCUUGAUAGUUACGAGGAUGUUCUCUUAACCAUAGUGACCUUGGAUUGAAACUGGCAAUAAGAAGCAGAUGAAAACAUCUUUGAAGUAUCUGUGACUGCUUAUUUUCCUUGUCAUCUUUCCAAUUUAUCAUUGUUUUAUGUCAUAUGAACCCUUUCAAUAGUCAGUCCAUAAUAUUAUUGUCAAAAUCAUUCUUUGAUAUGAUUUCAAGUCUCUGUUUGGUUUUGAUCCUUCAUCUGUGCUAGGCUGUGCUAGGCUCUAUUUGUUUUCUUUUGAUCAUUAACUAUGUGCUAAUCAUUGAUGUAACAUAGAUUUAUAGUAUUUAUGUUGUUUAAAUUUGUAUUAUGCUU